rnacentral:rRNA from 1 species
GAUUAAGUUAUUAAGGGCGCACGGUGGAUGCCUUGGCACUAGAAGCCGAUGAAGGACGUUACUAACGACGAUAUGCUUUGGGGAGCUGUAAGUAAGCUUUGAUCCAGAGAUUUCCGAAUGGGGAAACCCAGCAUGAGUUAUGUCAUGUUAUCGAUAUGUGAAUACAUAGCAUAUCAGAAGGCACACCCGGAGAACUGAAACAUCUUAGUACCCGGAGGAAGAGAAAGAAAAUUCGAUUCCCUUAGUAGCGGCGAGCGAAACGGGAAGAGCCCAAACCAACAAGCUUGCUUGUUGGGGUUGUAGGACACUCUAUACGGAGUUACAAAGGACGACAUUAGACGAAUCAUCUGGAAAGAUGAAUCAAAGAAGGUAAUAUCGAAAAUGUUGUCUCUCUUGAGUGGAUCCUGAGUACGACGGAGCACGUGAAAUUCCGUCGGAAUCUGGGAGGACCAUCUCCUAAGGCUAAAUACUCUCUAGUGACCGAUAGUGAACCAGUACCGUGAGGGAAAGGUGAAAAGCACCCCGGAAGGGGAGUGAAAUAGAACCUGAAACCGUGUGCUUACAAGUAGUCAGAGCCCGUUAAUGGGUGAUGGCGUGCCUUUUGUAGAAUGAACCGGCGAGUUACGAUUUGAUGCAAGGUUAAGCAGUAAAUGUGGAGCCGUAGCGAAAGCGAGUCUGAAUAGGGCGUUUAGUAUUUGGUCGUAGACCCGAAACCAGGUGAUCUACCCAUGUCCAGGGUGAAGUUCAGGUAACACUGAAUGGAGGCCCGAACCCACGCACGUUGAAAAGUGCGGGGAUGAGGUGUGGGUAGCGGAGAAAUUCCAAUCGAACCUGGAGAUAGCUGGUUCUCCCCGAAAUAGCUUUAGGGCUAGCCUUAAGUGAAGAGUCUUGGAGGUAGAGCACUGAUUGGACUAGGGGUCCUCAUCGGAUUACCGAAUUCAGUCAAACUCCGAAUGCCAAUGACUUAUCCUUAGGAGUCAGACUGCGAGUGAUAAGAUCCGUAGUCAAAAGGGAAACAGCCCAGACCGCCAGCUAAGGUCCCAAAGUGUGUAUUAAGUGGAAAAGGAUGUGGAGUUGCUUAGACAACUAGGAUGUUGGCUUAGAAGCAGCCACCAUUUAAAGAGUGCGUAAUAGCUCACUAGUCGAGUGACACUGCGCCGAAAAUGUACCGGGGCUAAACAUAUUACCGAAGCUGUGGAUAGAAGUGAGAAUGCCGGUGUGAGUAGCGAAAGACGGGUGAGAAUCCCGUCCACCGAUUGACUAAGGUUUCCAGAGGAAGGCUCGUCCGCUCUGGGUUAGUCGGGUCCUAAGCUGAGGCCGACAGGCGUAGGCGAUGGAUAACAGGUUGAUAGUCCUGCCCAAGCGACUGUUUAUCAAAAACACAGGUCUCUGCUAAACCGUAAGGUGAUGUAUAGGGGCUGACGCCUGCCCGGUGCUGGAAGGUUAAGAGGAGUGGUUAGCUUCUGCGAAGCUACGAAUCGAAGCCCCAGUAAACGGCGGCCGUAACUAUAACGGUCCUAAGGUAGCGAAAUUCCUUGUCGGGUAAGUUCCGACCCGCACGAAAGGCGUAACGAUUUGGGCACUGUCUCAACGAGAGACUCGGUGAAAUCAUAGUACCUGUGAAGAUGCAGGUUACCCGCGACAGGACGGAAAGACCCCGUGGAGCUUUACUGUAGCCUGAUAUUGAAAUUCGGCACAGCUUGUACAGGAUAGGUAGGAGCCUUUGAAACGUGAGCGCUAGCUUAGGUGGAGGCGCUGGUGGGAUACCGCCCUGACUGUAUUGAAAUUCUAACCUACGGGUCUUAUCGACCCGGGAGACAGUGUCAGGCGGGCAGUUUGACUGGGGCGGUCGCCUCCUAAAAGGUAACGGAGGCGCUCAAAGGUUCCCUCAGAAUGGUUGGAAAUCAUUCAUAGAGUGUAAAGGCAUAAGGGAGCUUGACUGCGAGACCUACAAGUCGAGCAGGGUCGAAAGACGGACUUAGUGAUCCGGUGGUUCCGCAUGGAAGGGCCAUCGCUCAACGGAUAAAAGCUACCCCGGGGAUAACAGGCUUAUCUCCCCCAAGAGUCCACAUCGACGGGGAGGUUUGGCACCUCGAUGUCGGCUCAUCGCAUCCUGGGGCUGUAGUCGGUCCCAAGGGUUGGGCUGUUCGCCCAUUAAAGCGGUACGCGAGCUGGGUUCAGAACGUCGUGAGACAGUUCGGUCCCUAUCCGUCGUGGGCGUAGGAAAUUUGAGAGGAGCUGUCCUUAGUACGAGAGGACCGGGAUGGACGCACCGCUGGUGUACCAGUUGUUCUGCCAAGGGCAUAGCUGGGUAGCUAUGUGCGGAAGGGAUAAGUGCUGAAAGCAUCUAAGCAUGAAGCCCCCCUCAAGAUGAGAUUUCCCAGCGUAAGCUAUAAGAUCCCUGAAAGAUGAUCAGGUUGAUAGGUUCGAGGUGGAAGCAUGGUGACAUGUGGAGCUGACGAAUACUAAUAGAUCGAGGACUUAACCAU